rnacentral:rRNA from 1 species
UACGUAGGGUGCAAACGUUGUCCGGAAUUAUUGGGCGUAAAGAGCUCGUAGGCGGCUUGUCACGUCGGGUGUGAAAGACCGGGGCUUAACCCCGGUUCUGCAUUCGAUACGGGCUGGCUAGAGUGUGGUAGGGGAGAUCGGAAUUCCUGGUGUAGCGGUGAAAUGCGCAGAUAUCAGGAGGAACACCGGUGGCGAAGGCGGAUCUCUGGGCCAUUACUGACGCUGAGGAGCGAAAGCGUGGGGAGCGAACAGG